rnacentral:rRNA from 2 species
GGGCCCGCACAAGCAGUGGAUUAUGUGGUUUAAUUCGAAGCAACGCGAAGAACCUUACCAGGUCUUGACAUACCACGAGUAGCAUAGAGAUAUGUGAUGCCCUUCGGGGCGUGGAUACAGGUGGUGCAUGGUUGUCGUCAGCUCGUGUCGUGAGAUGUUGGGUUAAGUCCCGCAACGAGCGCAACCCUUACUAUUAGUUGCUACGCAAGAGCACUCUAAUGGGACUGCCGUUGACAAAACGGAGGAAGGUGGGGAUGAUGUCAAAUCAUCAUGCCCUUUAUGACCUGGGCUACACACGUAAUACAAUGGCACUCAAACAGAGGGAAGCAAAGCCGCGAGGUUGAGCAAAUCCCAAAAAAGUGUCUCAGUUCGGAUUGCAGGCUGCAACUCGCCUGCAUGAAGUCGGAAUUGCUAGUAAUCGCGGAUCAGCACGCCGCGGUGAAUACG